AAAACACAAAGUGCUGGAGGAACUCAAUCAAAGUCAGGCAACAUGUGGGGAGGGAAUCGAUAGACAAUGUUUCGAUUUGAACCCUUCUUCAGACU